rnacentral:rRNA from 1 species
AUUGAACGCUGGCGGCAGGCCUAACACAUGCCAGUCGAGCGGAUGAAGGGAGCUUGCUCCUGGAUUCAGCGGCGGACGGGUGAGUAAUGCCUAGGAAUCUGCCUGGUAGUGGGGGAUAACGUCCGGAAACGGGCGCUAAUACCGCAUACGUCCUGAGGGAGAAAGUGGGGGAUCUUCGGACCUCACGCUAUCAGAUGAGCCUAGGUCGGAUUAGCUAGUUGGUGGGGUAAAGGCCUACCAAGGCGACGAUCCGUAACUGGUCUGAGAGGAUGAUCAGUCACACUGGAACUGAGACACGGUCCAGACUCCUACGGGAGGCAGCAGUGGGGAAUAUUGGACGAUGGGCGAAAGCCUGAUACAGCCAUGCCGCGUGUGUGAAGAAGGUCUUCGGAUUGUAAAGCACUUUAAGUUGGGAGGAAGGGCAGUAAGUUAAUACCUUGCUGUUUUGACGGUACCAACAGAAUAAGCACCGGCUAACUUCGUG